rnacentral:rRNA from 1 species
UUAGAGUUUGAUCAUGGCUCAGGAUGAACGCUGGCGGCGUGUUUAACACAUGCAAGUCGACGAGAUGUUUCUCAGUAGAUUCUUCGGAUGAUACAGAGUUACGGAAAGCGGCGGACGGGUAGUAACGCGUAGGCAACCUGCCCCUUGCAGAGGGAUAGCCUCGGGAAACCGGGAUUAAAACUCAUAAUGCGGCACUGAGACAUCUCAGAGCCGCCAAAGAUUUAUCGGCAAGGGAUGGGCUGCGUCUGAUUAGUUAGUUGGUGGGGUAACGGCCUACCAAGGCGACGAUCAGUAGCCGACUGAGAGGGUGAUCGGCCACAUUGGAACUGAGACACGGUCCAAACUCCUACGGGAGGCAGCGUGGAGAAUCUUGCACAAUGGGCGAAAGCCUGAUGCAGCAACGCCGCGUGAAGGAUGAAGCCCUUGGGUCGUAAACUUCUGUUCUAAGGGAAGAUAAUGACGGUACCUUAGGAGCAAGUCCGGCUAACUACGUGCCAGCAGCCGCGGUAAUACGUAGGGGGCGAGCGUUAUCCGUAAUUAUGGGCGUAAAGAGUACGUAGGUGGUUUCCUAAGCGAGGGGUUUAAGGCAAUGGCUUAACCUUGUUCGCCCCCCGAACUGGGUUACUUGAGUGCUGGAGGGGAAAGCGGAAUUCCUAGUGUGCGGUGAAUGCGUAGAUAUUAGGAGGAACACCAGUGGCGAAGGCGGCUUUCUGGACAGUACUGACACUGAGGUACGAAAGUGUGGGGAGCAAACAGGAUUAGAUACCCUGGUAGUCCACACGUAAACGAUGAGCACUAUGUGUUGGGUUCGCAAGAACUCGGUGCCGCAGUUAACGCAUUAGUGCUCCGCCUGGGGA